CCCCCCAGCGCCGGAAAGUUGGUCAAACUCGGUCAUUUAGAGGAAGUAAAAGUCGUAACAAGGUUUCCGUAGGUGAACCUGCGGAAGGAUCAUUACCGAGUGCGGGCCCCUCGGGGCCCAACCUCCCACCCGUGUUGCCCGAACCUAUGUUGCCUCGGCGGGCCCCGCGCCCGCCGACGGCCCCCCUGAACGCUGUCUGAAGUUGCAGUCUGAGACCUAUAACGAAAUUAGUUAAAACUUUCAACAACGGAUCUCUUGGUUCCGGCAUCGAUGAAGAACGCAGCGAAAUGCGAUAACUAAUGUGAAUUGCAGAAUUCAGUGAAUCAUCGAGUCUUUGAACGCACAUUGCGCCCUCUGGUAUUCCGGAGGGCAUGCCUGUCCGAGCGUCAUUGCUGCCCUCAAGCCCGGCUUGUGUGUUGGGCCCCGUCCCCCCCGCCGGGGGGACGGGCCCGAAAGGCAGCGGCGGCACCGCGUCCGGUCCUCGAGCGUAUGGGGCUUCGUCACCCGCUCUAGUAGGCCCGGCCGGCGCCAGCCGACCCCCAACCUUUAAUUAUCUCAGGUUGACCUCGGAUCAGGUAGGGAUACCCGCUGAACUUAAGCAUAUCAAUAAGCGGAGGAAAAGAAACCAACCGGGAUUGCCCUAGUAACGGCGAGUGAAGCGGCAAGAGCUCAAAUUUGAAAGCUGGCCCCCUCGGGGUCCGCAUUGUAAUUUGCAGAGGAUGCUUCGGGAACGGCCCCCAUCUAAGUGCCCUGGAACGGGCCGUCAUAGAGGGUGA
rnacentral:rRNA from 1 species